rnacentral:rRNA from 1 species
CGCGAAUGGCUCAUUACAACAGCUAUAAUUCACUUGAUCUUGACACAAUCCUACUUGGAUAACUGUGGUAAUUCUAGAGCUAAUACAUGCAUUAAAGCUCUGACCUCACGGGAAGAGUGCAUUUAUUAGAACAAAACCAAGCGGCUUCGGCUGUUUUCGGUUGACUCAUAGUAACUGAGCUGAUCGCAUGGUCUUGCUCCGGCGACGUGUCUUUCAAGUAUCUGCCGUAUCAACUUUCGAUGGUAGUGUAUCUGACUACCAUGGUGAUCACGCGUAACGGAGAAUAAGGGUUCGACUCCGGAGAGUUCGCCUGAGAAAUCGCGAACACAUCUAAGGAAGGCAGCAGGCGCGAAAAUUACCCACUCUCAGCACGAGGAGGUAGUGACGAAAAAUAACGAGACCGUUCUCUUAUGAGGCCGGUCAUCGGAAUGGGUACAAUUUAAACCCUUUAACGAGUAUCUAUGAGAGGGCAAGUCUGGUGCCAGCAGCCGCGGUAAUUCCAGCU